rfam:Camelus ferus unplaced genomic scaffold scaffold245, whole genome shotgun sequence.
GGAAGCGUACAGCUCAGUGGUAGAGCACGUGCCUAGCAUGCACGAGGUCCCGGGUUCAAUUCCCUGUACCUCCA